CCUACGGGAGGCAGCAGUGAGGAAUAUUGGUCAAUGGACGAGAGUCUGAACCAACCAAGUAGCGUGAAGGAUGACUGCCCUAUGGGUUGUAAACUUCUUUUAUAUGGGAAUAAAAUGUUCCACGUGUGGGAUUUUGUAUGUAGCAUAUGAAUAAGGAUCGGCUAACUCCGUGCCAGCAGCCGCGGUAAUACGGAGGAUCCGAGCGUUAUCCGGAUUUAUUGGGUUUAAAGGGAGCGUAGGUGGAUUGUUAAGUCAGUUGUGAAAGUUUGCGGCUCAACCGUAAAAUUGCAGUUGAAACUGGCAGUCGUGAGUACAGUAGAGGUGGGCGGAAUUCGUGGUGUAGCGGUGAAAUGCUUAGAUAUCACGAAGAACUCCGAUUGCGAAGGCAGCUCACUGGACUUCAACUGACACUGAGGCUCGAAAGUGUGGGUAUCAAACAGGAUUAGAUACCCUUGUAGUC
rnacentral:rRNA from 1 species